UGUGACUUUCCCCCUCAGUAACUGUUUCGCUUACUCCUAGGUUGUCAUAAACCCAAAUUUUGAGGUUGCAGAGAGUGAUUUUACCAAUAACGCCAUGAAAUGCAACUGUAAAUAUGAUGGGCACAGAAUCUGGGUACACAACUGCCACCUAGGUGACGCAUUUAGUGAAGAGGCAAACAAGCGUUUUGAGCAAUACAGAGGCGAGCUGAAUAAUCAAAUCCUAUAACACGGAUCAUAUAGAACUAUACAGAGAGCUUCAGAUCAACCACAUAACCUGCUCAAAUACCACAAAUUUGUCACCAGUUAUUCCCCUCUCUUAUAUGAGCACAGCUGGGAAAUCGUCUCUCCUGGAUGCUGAAUUACAUAGAACCAAUUCUACACAAACACUUCACUUAAAUGUAUUAUUCAGCACGUACUGGCCCUAAGUACCUCCGAUGUUCUCUCUGUGUUAGGCAUGAAGCCCCCGUCUAUAGUAACACAUCUACUGUCUUCUGUUGGUUAUGUAUGUGAUGCCAUGGAACUGAAUAUGUACUCCCCCCCGUCUAUAGUAACACAUCUACUGUCUUCUGUUGGGUAUUUAUGUGAUGCCUUGGAACUGAAUAUGUACUCCCCCCGUCUUUAGUAACACAUCUACUGUCUUCUGUUGGUUAUGUAUGUGAUGCCAUGGAACUGAAUAUGUACUCCCCCCCGUCUAUAGUAACACAUCUACUGUCUUCUGUUGGGUAUUUAUGUGAUGCCAUGGAACUGAAUAUGUACUCAAACCUAACUACUGGUUUUGGAUGCAUUUACCUGUGUCUGAGAAACUUACUCAAUUUAGCACUCUCAAAAUUUCUUGAACAUCCUCAAGGUUCCUUCUCAGUUCCACUUCCCUACAAUAAUAGGUGUUCUCUCCACCCACCAUUUCCAGGGUGAUCUCUACAUCAUUUGCCCCAUGGUCUCUCAAGGUGCAAACAUCCUUAAGAUGUUGUUUUUUUUUAGUUCCACUUCACUACAGUAAUCUCUUAACGAACCCCCUGAGAUGGCCGCUCCUUAAAGAGUCUACAGUCAGCCAUUCUACUUAAGAUGGUGCUUUAUCAUGUGCUCUCAAAGUCAUGGCCCUUCAGACUUGCUAACGAGAUGUGACAUCUUCACACUAUAUUUAAAGUUACCUGUUGUACCUGAAGUGUCACAAUGUCACACUAUUUGUACUUAAGCUGUCUAUUUCCUUGGUGUACAUUCUAUGCUUCCUCUAUUCCCAGAGUGAUUUUGCCGUCAUUUCUUAUAUUGUUGUUUCCAUCCUGUCUCUCAAGGGUUAUAUUUCCAUUUUAGGAGCUCAGCCGAUAUCAAACUCCCUCUAAUAUCUCUGAAGUCACCUUUAUGAUCCAGCUGCACGUGGGUCAAGGGGCAAUAACAAUCGCCCUAAGGAUGUUUAAGAGAAAAACACUAAAGCACUGAGUCUUGUCAUAGACAUACUUGUAGGGUGAGUGCAGUCACACAUCUGCUUCUACUCUGAUAGUAAUACCAUGCCAUAAAGCCAUGCAGACCCUGAGCUGUGUAAGACUAAGCUAAACGAUAAGAUAUAGAGGAACAAGGGAUGUCUAACCAUACCUCCAUUCUACAACGAGACUUACCAGUCCUGCAGUUAUAGUUACCUUUUGCUACAUCGGUGCCUAUAUGACUACCCUUGCCUUGGGUCCUCUUACAAAAGGCUCGCAAGUGUGUACUGAAUGUAUAUCCUGUAAUCCACGCAGUGUCAUCAUGUUACACACACCCAUGUAGUCAUAUCCUGUUAGACAGGGACUCACACACGUAAUGUAGACAUAUCCUGUUACACAGAGACUCACAUUCAUGUAUUGCAUACAUAUCCUGUUACAUACAGACUCACACACAUAGUGUAGCCAUAUCUUGUUACACAGGGGCACAUAUAUCUAGUGCAAUCAUAUCCUGUUACAUACAGAUUCAUACACAUGUAGUGUAGCCAUAUCCUGUUACAUACAGACUUACACGCAUGAAGUGUAGCCAUAUCCUGUUACAUACAGACUCACACACAUGUAGUGUAGCCAUAUCCUGUUACAUACAGACUCACACACAUGAAGUGUAGCCAUAUCCUGUUACAUACAGACUCACACACACAUAGUGUAGCCAUAUCUUGUUACACAGGGGCACAUAUCUAGUGCAAUCAUAUCCUGUUACAUACAGACUCACACACAUAGUGUAGCCAUAUCUUGUUACACAGGGGCACAUAUAUCUAGUGCAAUCAUAUCCUGUUACAUACAGACUCACACACAUGUAGUGUAGCCAUAUCCUGUUACAUACAGACUCACACACAUGAAGUGUAGCCAUAUCCUGUUACAUACAGACUUACACACAUGAAGUGUAGCCAUAUCCUGUUACAUACAGACUCACACAUAUGUAGUGUAGCCAUAUCCUGUUACAUACAGACUCACACACAUGAAGUGUAGCCAUAUCCUGUUACAUACAGACACACACACAUGUAGUGUAGCCAUAUCCUGUUACAUACAGACUCACACACAUGAAGUGUAGCCAUAUCCUGUUACAUACAGACUUACACACAUGUAGUGUAGCCAUAUCCUGUUACAUACAGACUCACACACAUGUAGUGUAGCCAUAUCCUGUUACAUACAGACUCACACACAUGUAGUGUAGCCAUAUCCUGUCACAUACAGACUCAUACACAUGAAGUGUAGCCAUAUCCUGUUACAUACAGACUCACACACAUGAAGUGUAGCCAUAUCCUGUUACACAGAGACUCACACACAUGUAGUGUAGCCAUAUCCUGUUACAUACAGACUUACACACAUGAAGUGUAGCCAUAUCCUGUUACAUACAGACUCACACACAUGUAGUGUAGCCAUAUCCUGUUACAUACAGACUCACACACAUGUAGUGUAGCCAUAUCCUGUCACAUACAGACUCAUACACAUGAAGUGUAGCCAUAUCCUGUUACAUACAGACUCACACACAUGAAGUGUAGCCAUAUCCUGUUACACAGAGACUCACACACAUGUAGUGUAGCCAUAUCCUGUUACAUACAGACUUACACACAUGAAGUGUAGCCAUAUCAUGUUACAUACAGACUCACACACAUGUAGUGUAGCCAUAUCCUGUUACAUACAGACUCACACACAUGAAGUGUAGCCAUAUCCUGUUACAUACAGACUCACACACAUAAAGUGUAGCCAUAUCCUGUUACAUACAGACUCACACACAUGUAGUGUAGCCAUAUGCUGUUACAUACAGACUCACACACAUGAAGUGUAGCCAUAUCCUGUUACAUACAGACUCACACAAGAUGUGUAGCCAUAUCCUGUUACAUACAGACUCACACACACAUAGUGUAGCCAUAUCCUGUUACAUACAGACUCACACACAUGUAGUGUAGCCAUAUGCUGUUACAUACAGACUCACACACAUGAAGUGUAGCCAUAUCCUAUUACAUACAGACUCACACACAUGAAGUGUAGCCAUAUCCUGUUACAUAUAGACUCACACAAGAAGUGUAGCCAUAUCCUGUUACAUACAGACUCACACACACAUAGUGUAGCCAUAUCUUGUUACACAGGGGCACAUAUCUAGUGCAAUCAUAUCCUGUUACAUACAGACUCACACACAUAGUGUAGCCAUAUCUUGUUACACAGGGGCACAUAUAUCUAGUGCAAUCAUAUCCUGUUACAUACAGACUCACACACAUGUAGUGUAGCCAUAUCCUGUUACAUACAGACUUACACGCAUGUAGUGUAGCCAUAUCCUGUUACAUACAGGCUCACACACAUGUAGUGUAGCCAUAUCCUGUUACAUACAGACUCACACACAUGAAGUGUAGCCAUAUCCUGUUACAAACAGACUCACACACACAUAGUGUAGCUAUAUCUUGUUACAGAGGGGCACAUAUAUCUAGUGCAAUCAUAUCCUGUUACAUACAGACUUACACGCAUGUAGUGUAGCCAUAUCCUGUUACAUACAGACUUACACACAUGUAGUGUAGCCAUAUCCUGUUCCAUACAGACUCACACACAUGUAGUAUAGCCAUAUCCUGUUACAUACAGACUCACACACAUGAAGUGUAGCCAUAUCUUGUUACAUACAGACUCACACACAUAAAGUGUAGCCAUAUCCUGUUACAUACAGACUCACACACAUGUAGUGUAGCCAUAUGCUGUUACAUACAGACUCACACACAUGAAGUGUAGCCAUAUCCUGUUACAUACAGACUCACACAAGAAGUGUAGCCAUAUCCUGUUACAUAAAAACUUACACACAUAGUGUAGCCAUAUCUUGUUACACAGGGGCACAUAUAUCUAGUGCAAUCAUAUCCUGUUACAUACAGACUCACACACAUGUAGUGUAGCCAUAUCCUGUUACAUACAGACUCACACACAUGAAGUGUAGCCAUAUCCUGUUACAUACAGACUUACACACAUGAAGUGUAGCCAUAUCCUGUUACAUACAGACUCACACACAUGUAGUGUAGCCAUAUCCUGUUACAUACAGACUCACACACAUGAAGUGUAGCCAUAUCCUGUUACAUACAGACUUACACACAUGAAGUGUAGCCAUAUUCUGUUACAUACAGACUCACACACAUAAAGUGUAGCUAUAUCCUGUUACAUACAGACUCACACACAUGUAGUGUAGCCAUAUGCUGUUACAUACAGAUUCACACAUAUGAAGUGUAGCCAUAUCCUGUUACAUACAGACUCACACAAGAAGUGUAGUCAUAUCCUGUUACAUACAGACUCACACACACAUAGUGUAGCCAUAUCUUGUUACACAGGGGCACAUAUCUAGUGCAAUCAUAUCCUGUUACAUACAGACUCACACACACAUAGUGUAGCCAUAUCUUGUUACACAGGGGCACAUAUCUAGUGCAAUCAUAUCCUGUUACAUACAGACUCACACACAUAGUGAAGCCAUAUCUUGUUACACAGGGGCACAUAUAUCUAGUGCAAUCAUAUCCUGUUACAUACAGACUCACACACAUGUAGUGUAGCCAUAUGCUGUUACAUACAGACUCACACACAUGAAGUGUAGCCAUAUCCUGUUACAUACAGACUCACACAAGAAGUGUAGCCAUAUCCUGUUACAUACAGACUCACACACACAUAGUGUAGCCAUAUCUUGUUACACAGGGGCACAUAUCUAGUGCAAUCAUAUCCUGUUACAUACAGUCUCACACACAUGAAGUGUAGCCAUAUCCUGUUACAUACAGACUCACACAAGAAGUGUAGCCAUAUCCUGUUACAUACAGACUCACACACACAUAGUGUAGCCAUAUCUUGUUACACAGGGGCACAUAUCUAGUGCAAUCAUAUCCUGUUACAUACAGACUCACACACAUAGUGUAGCCAUAUCUUGUUACACAGGGGCACAUAUAUCUAGUGCAAUCAUAUCCUGUUACAUACAGACUCACACACAUGUAGUGUAGCCAUAUCCUGUUACAUACAAACUCACACACAUGAAGUGUAGCCAUAUCCUGUUACAUACAGACUCACACAAGAAGUGUAGCCAUAUCCUGUUACAUACAGACUCACACACACAUAGUGUAGCCAUAUCUUGUUACACAGGGGCACAUAUCUAGUGCAAUCAUAUCCUGUUACAUACAGACUCACACACAUAGUGUAGCCAUAUCUUGUUACACAGGGGCACAUAUAUCUAGUGCAAUCAUAUCCUGUUACAUACAGACUCACACACAUGUAGUGUAGCCAUAUCCUGUUACAUACAAACUCACACACAUGAAGUGUAGCCAUAUCCUGUUACAUACAGACUUACACACAUGAAGUGUAGCCAUAUCCUGUUACAUACAGACUCACACACAUGUAGUGUAGCCAUAUCCUGUUACAUACAGACUCACACACAUGAAGUGUAGCCAUAUCCUGUUACAUACAGACUUACACACAUGAAGUGUAGCCAUAUCCUGUUACAUACAGACUCACACACAUGUAGUGUAGCCAUAUCCUGUUACAUACAGACUCACACACAUGAAGUGUAGCCAUAUCCUGUUACAUACAGACUCACACACAUAAAGUGUAGCCAUAUCCUGUUACAUACAGACUCACACACAUAAAGUGUAGCCAUAUCCUGUUACAUACAGACUCACACACAUGUAGUGUAGCCAUAUGCUGUUACAUACAGACUCACACACAUGAAGUGUAGCCAUAUCCUGUUACAUACAGACUCACACAAGAAGUGUAGCCAUAUCCUGUUACAUACAGACUCACACACACAUAGUGUAGCCAUAUCUUGUUACACAGGGGCACAUAUCUAGUGCAAUCAUAACCUGUUACAUACAGACUCACACACAUAGUGUAGCCAUAUCUUGUUACACAGGGGCACAUAUAUCUAGUGCAAUCAUAUCCUGUUACAUACAGACUCACACACAUGUAGUGUAGCCAUAUCCUGUUACAUACAGACUUACACGCAUGUAGUGUAGCCAUAUCCUGUUACAUACAGACUCACACACAUGUAGUGUAGCCAUAUCCUGUUACAUACAGACUCACACACAUGAAGUGUAGCCAUAUCCUGUUACAAACAGACUCACACACACAUAGUGUGGCUAUAUCUUGUUACAGAGGGGCACAUAUAUCUAGUGCAAUCAUAUCCUAUUACAUACAGACUUACAUGCAUGUAGUGUAGCCAUAUCCUGUUACAUACAGACUUACACGCAUGUAGUAUAGCCAUAUCCUGUUACAUACAGACUAACACGCAUGUAGUGUAGCCAUAUCCUGUUACAUACAGACUCACACACAUGAAGUGUAGCCAUAUCCUGUUACAAACAGACUCACACACACAUAGUGUAGCCAUAUCUUGUUACAGAGGGGCACAUAUAUCUAGUGCAAUCAUAUCCUGUUACAUACAGACUCACACAUAUAAUGCAGUAAUAUUCUGCAUGUGGCACAGUUACAUCAUGUUACACAGGUAUCACAAGCAGAUGGGGCACAUUUAAUUUCAUGGAUACCUACAUAUGCUGUACAACUGGGGCAUACUCAUAUUGUCUAAUUUACACGCUAACACACAACUUCUCGUUAAUUUCCUGAUAUUUUGGUCUGUAAAAUAUAUUUUAUUUUAAUCUCCUAAAUAAAUUGUUGUCCAAAUUCA